CAGCUUAACCGAAACCUGCUAUGUCCACACACUACACCAAAAUUUAAAACAGGACCAAUUUGUCCAAAUAUUACAACACAGUUUAAUAACCAAUCUAUCUCAAUGCUACACCAGAACUUAAUUUGAAACAUCACAGGAAAAAAUGCAUCUAAACCAAACAGAUACCGAAACGGGAUCAAAAUGUUAUUUACAAACUAUACAAAUCAAGCAACCCAGCAUACCGAUUCAAAAUCUGAACAGAAAUGAAACAUACUCGCAGUCAGAACACGUAACAUAUUGAGUACAUAAUACUCUUACCAGAUAUCAGUACAACAGAGACGAAAUCAAGAAAAUAUUUUCACAUACGCAAAGCUAAAUACGAGAUUAGUUA
rnacentral:lncRNA from 1 species